GACGAACCGUCCAAACGUUAUUCGGAAUUACUGGGCUUAAAGGGUGCGUAGGCGGCGCGGAAAGUUGGGUGUGAAAUCCCUCGGCUCAACCGAGGAACUGCGCCCAAAACUACCGUGCUCGAGGGAGAUAGAGGUGAGCGGAACUUAGGGUGGAGCGGUGAAAUGCGUUGAUAUCCUAAGGAACACCCGUGGCGAAAGCGGCUCACUGGACCUCUUCUGACGCUGAGGCACGAAAGCUAGGGUAGCGAACGGG
rnacentral:rRNA from 1 species